AUCCUAAAGCCUGACGGUACUAACCUUUGGUAGAAAUAUCAGAGGGGCCCAUGCUAAAAACAUGGGGGAUGGUAAUAAUCUGUCAGGAUGUUUAAUGGACGAUCCGCAGCGGAGCUCCUGUUGCCAUCGGCUACGGAGAACGUUCACAGACUAAGUGAUUAUGGGCAGGACAUCCUGCUUAAGAUAUAGUCGGGCUACUUCAGAAAUGAGGUAGGUAUUCGCUAUGAAUACAUGGUCAGAACCGCUCAAAGCGGGCAUUGGGAUUAAGGCUAUCCCCUGACUUAAAAUAACCGCUCCGUAGGUGAACCUGCGGAGGGAUCAUUACAGAGUUCAUGCCCUCACGGGUAGAUCUCCCACCCUAUGCUAUCAUUACCUUUGUUGCUUUGGCGGGCCGCCAGGCCUUGGUCAGGCUACCGGCUCCGGCUGGUAAGCGCCCGCCAGAGGAUCCCAAACUCUGAAUGUUAGUGUCGUCUGAGUACUAUAUAAUAGUUAAAACUUUCAACAACGGAUCUCUUGGUUCUGGCAUCGAUGAAGAACACAGCGAAAUGCGAUAAGUAAUGUGAAUUGCAGAAUUUAGUGAAUCAUCGAAUCUUUGAACGCACAUUGCGCCCCUUGGUAUUCCGAGGGGCAUGCCUGUUCGAGCGUCAUUACAACCCUCAAGCAAUGCUUGGUGUUGGGCCCCGCUGCUCACCUAGCGGGCCUUAAAAUCAGUGGCGGUGCCGUCGGGCCCUGAGCGCAGUAAAUAUCCUCGCUACAGGGACUCGGUGGACGCUGGCCAUCAACCCAGACUCCUCUAAGUUUGACCUCGGAUCAGGUAGGGAUACCCGCUGAACUUAAGCAUAUCAAUAAGCGGAGG
rnacentral:rRNA from 1 species